UUCCCAUGGAGGCCAGAUCCAGAGAC
rnacentral:piRNA from 2 species